rnacentral:lncRNA from 1 species
CGAGUAAAGCCAGGAUGUAGGUUAGCAUAAUUCCGGCCCUCAGUGGUGGAUUUAGGUAUGGGCGGCAUGGGGCGCCCACUCAAAUGUGGAAUGGUGACAUUUGCGCGAUCGGUUUUCUAUCGCUCAUUUCCGCGGCACGUCAAUGAUAUGUCACCAUGUGGGACUGUGGGUCAAUUAACCCUGUCGGAGUGCAUUUGUCCCACUCAGAAGAGAUGGGGCGGGGGGUAGGUUGACCUCAGGUAUCAAAUAGCGCACCUCUAACUUCGUACAGUACUAAUACAAUUAGUACAAUCAGUCACUACGAAAUGCUACCAAAAUAAGCCAAAAUUUAUUCAUAACACUGUGAAUAUAUAGUUUCACAGACAUAUUGUUGCAUUUUUUUCUGGUUUGUGUGAAAUCGUUAAGAAUAAUGUAAAACCAGUCUGCACACCACCAAGGUGGAUUGGUUUAAUCUUGACUCUUGGUUGACAGUGUUGGGGGAUGGGUAAUGUAUUGAUGCUCGAGUGCCAAAUCAACACAAAUUGAUAAGAAAAGGUCUAAAACAUCAGGUGCCCAGUUUAGGAAAAAGAGGAAAGAAGAAGAGGAGAAAUGCGCAAAAGAUAAAGGAAUCUUCUAGCUUGGAUGAUAGGAUGGAGAAGGGAACAAAGGCAAGGAGCACAGAAGUUAUCCAGCCUUUUGAUUAAGAAGUUUCCUGAAACAUGUAGAUGACAUGAUGCAUGGCCUCUACAGCAGUGCUUGGCCACCCAUUCAUUUUCCAGUGAUCUUUUCUGCCACAUCCCAGGUAAGGGAGGGCAGAAUCAUCCCUCCUUAAAUCCACAGUCAUUGACAGUAAGUUUUGUGUGCAAAAUGUUUUUUUUGUUUGAUACUUUGAUAUUCAAUGUGUAUUGAUUCCUACUAACCAGUUUUGUAAGAGCUAGGUUCGUACACUCUCCAAACUGAGCUAUUUCAGCGAGCCGCUUGGCUUAUGUCAGUGUGACUUUUCAGGACACCUGCAAGUGGCACAGAAUAUGAGCACUCAGAAGGUAUCGCAUGGCCAGUACAGAGAUCGAACCUACAACCUUGGCUUAAUUAGCACAACAGUCAAUUGUUACCAGCUAUCGUGGCUCAGCAGGUACUAGCGAGUAAUCUACCAAGUAAGGAUAGCCUGGCCAGGGCUAAAGCCAGAACAAGAGCCUCUUGAUUGCUUCUUGUGGCCACUUCAAGCAGCUGGGGACUCUCUUAGCAAGCAGGAGGUAGUGUGAUUGAUGCCCACAUUCUCCAACACGGGUGGGUAUAAUUUGUGGAACGUUCCAACAGGAAUCCGUUCCAAAAACUCCGCAAAUGUCAAGGUUGCCAACCAACAACGCAUACAAAGUCGUAUAACGGUUGAAUGAGAUACCGGGUAGGGAGUGAGCAAUGUAAUAACGUUUUUCACUCACCACGUUUAUCCCGAAAAAUGUAUCUUCGUUCUGGUAGCCUCCACCAUUCCUCGUUCGUUGGUUUAGUUAUUAUUUCCGGUGUUCCUGCAUUCGCCG